UAUUUCUUGGUUGUUGAAUAAUUUACAACUAUAAAAUCCGACUUCAUUUUAAUAAGUAUUUGCAUGUUUGUGUUUUGAAUAUUCAUGAAGUUAAGAUAUUAUUUAUGUGAAAAAUGCUCGUUAAUACCGUUGAGAAUGUUUUUACACCACAGAAAACGACUUUAAUAUUAGGUGUUGCUGGUUCAAUUUUAUGGCAAUGAAAUUGUAGCUUUACUUCUAAAGUCUAAACAACUUUACUUUAUACUUGAGUGGUAUAAAUAAUUCUACAUGUACAUAUAUCACCUUUCAUGUGCCUGAAUUCUAUAUCAUUCAAGAACAUGUGCCACCUCUUCAUGAUCUCACCAUGCAGCAAUUGACUGUUAUGCAACAUGCUCAUACCUCUACUGCAAGAUUGACUGACUGUUUCACAGCACAUUUGCAUACUUCUACAACAAAUCAUUUUGACUGACUGUUUCACAGCACAUUCAUAUACUUUUACAGGAGAUGAUUUUGGUAAGUUAUUUUUCCUGUCUGUGUUUUUAACUCUUAGUUAUUUAUAUCUUUUUAUAAUGACACUUUAUAAACACAGCAUAGGCAAUAUAUUUGCUUAUUAGGAUGAAAUAAUAUCUAUUUUACUCUUAUGCUUUGGAUUCCUAGGAUAUUAAUUAGUGUUCAAAUUCUGUCACCCCUUGAUUGUUUGUUCUGUAUCAAAUGAUGGUCGGUUCAGUGCAUAAAUUGUCCAUUGCUUAGUCGUCCCCGUUUGCGACCAAUUUUGUUAGUCUGUAACUUUAUUGUAACUCCAUGCAUGUUUCUAAAGCGAAUUGCUGGCAUCUUUUGAACGUUUCUUCGUGUUCUUCCAUGCACCGUUUUACUAGAAAUGUAUUCUCUUUUUUUGACGAUUUUUAUUCUUUCGUUUAAAUCCAAUGCACCACAUGGGGCACUGUGCAAUAUAGACCUUUAAGACACAAAAAAAUACAAAAGAAGGCAAACAAAAAAUAUGCAAUAAGCAACGCAUGAGCAACUUAAAAUACUGUAGAAUUCAAUAAUGCAAUUGGAUAUUGCAGGGAACAUGAUUUAAGUUCUUUGAGUACUGUAUACUACGAGUUGGAUGAGCAGAAGUUAAAAUUAUUUUGCGACAGACGUGAUGUUGGCUCAUUAAUGCAUUGGGAGGGCACUGAAACUUUGGAUCUUUGGAUCCUUAGGUUAUAUAACUCUGAACCCUUAUAUCUUGAAAGGGUGUAAUCUCGCACCUACGCACCUUAGGCACUUGUUAAUAGUCUGCCUAUCAAAAUUCUUGAGAGAUUCUGUUUUAAAAAACAUGAUAAAGUUUUAAGUGCGAUAGAGUCCCUCCCUCAUUGCUGCUACUGUGCUUUAAAAGACUUUUAAAUACAAAAUGCAAGCAUAUUCUUACUUUGGCUAUAUGACAAGCCAAGUACGUGGCCAUGCAAGUUUCUGACAUGGACAUAUUUAUUUUUCUUCUGGAUAAUAUAAUCAUUUAACACAAUUCUCUGUUUCCUGGACUGACUGUUUCACAGCACAUUCGUAUACUUUUACAGGAAAUCAUUUUGGUAAGUUAUUUUUCCUGUCUGUGUCUUUAACUCUUAGUUAUUUAUAUCUUUUUAUAGUGACACUUUAUAAACACAGCAUAGGCAAUAUAUUUCCUAUUUAAGAUGGAAUAAUAUCUAUUUUACUCCUAACAUCUUUUUCGCUGCAAUAUAUAUUUUUAGGAUGGAACAUGUGAGAAAUCCUUUUGACCUUUGUUACAUUAACCCAUUUAAAAGAUCACUAUUAAGCAAACUUUGACUGAGAGUUUUUAAAUGAUGCAUGUGGUAAGUUUAUUACAAUUUUUGUUAACAUUUAACAAAAUCUACUCUGUCACUGUUACACUAUGCAAUUUUCUUGCAACUCUUAGUGCAAAUAUAAUUUUAGGGGUUGUUAGAUUGUAGCGAGUGUUCGAAAUUUUAAAAAAGUUAGCAGGUCGUAAUAAAUGUUCGUAUUUGACAACAUUAGAUGCCGCAGGAGUAGAAUUGCAUUGCAAAUUGUAAGAAAAGUUUGGUGAAGAAUAGAUAAAUUGCCUCUUCACAACAGUUUGUUAAAUAUAGCGGCUUAUAUUUUCACUCACCCAUAAAGUCAUCCCUACAAGUUUUCAACACAUCAGGACUUGUGCAAGAACUUUUACAUUGUGAGGACUUACUGUACACUCAGGUCCCCAUAAAGUCAUC